CGAAUUCGGGACAAGGUCUUACUUCUCCUAUUGUAUUGAUACCUACGUUAACAAUGUUGGCAAGCUAUCGAAUUAGUUUUUACUUGAGAAUAAAUCAAUAUGGUUUUAAUGAAUAUUAUCUGGCAACCGUGGUUUGAUAGCUUCUUCGAAGUCACGUUGAGUUCGAAGCUUCCUACAGUUUCCGAUAUGCAGAAUCCGGUGGCAUUAAUAUAAGCAGUUGUGUUUUUGCGGGUUGGUUUGAUCUAUCCAAAGGUUACGGGGUGUGUUUGUAAUAAUUAUAGAUCUUAUCCCUUGAAAUCAUUUGUAUUGACAUAAUUGGGAUCAUGUACCGAUGACGUAUGUUCCCUGUUGUACUGGUGUUUCAGGACUGGACUGCUGGUUUUGUACUACCAACGAAACUAUUAAAGAGCCAGAGUUGUUAAAGCUUGCCAAUGAUCCAAACGUUUUCAAUGCUUGUGAACCAGGUGGAAACUUACCCAGCACAGCAAAGGAGGCAUGUCCAUUCUAUGUCGGAAGAGUGUACUAUUGUGGAAUUUUUUACUAUAUGGACAGAAGAAACAAGAAUAACAAAAUACCGAUUUCCCGACGCUGCAUUAUUGCGAUUUAUGAUACCGGCCCGCCCGUUUUUUCAGAUGCACAACCGUUAUUUUGUUAUACUGAAAUGGUUAAGGGAGACAGAAGCUACUCCUGCAUCUGCCGUGGGUCGUAUUGCAAUAAUUUCAGCCUAGCAGCGAUUGGCAUCGCCGUCGACAACACGAAUUUACCAGACAAUCAGAAAAAGCCAAUACCAGCUGGAUCUUCACUAUCGCCCGUUAUGCCAAGCAGUGGGUCAGGCAGUACAGGCAGUGCUUCGAACAGUGCGGACAACCCGGCUCUACAAUCCGUUGCUGGUAACAAAGAAUCUGGAGACGAAGUGGCGGCUAGUGGACAAAGCCCCACCUCAGCCGGCAAAGGUGGUUCGACAAAUGGGAGCAGCAAUGCGGCUGGAUCAAAAGAGAGUGGACCAAACGUGAUUGUUAUUAUCGCCACUGUCGUUGUUGCGGCCAUUUUGCUGCUAAUCGGAGGUAUCGUUCUCUAUAAACACAACCAUCAUCAUAGACGACGACGUCCGGAAGACGAGGAAGAGGAUGAGAAUGACGAGCAGUCGCAGAGAUGACGAAAAGGUUGUGGAUGAAAUUUAGUUGGGCCCCGAAUCUUUGUGUGUGAACCGGUGCACGAUCUCGGUAAUACUAGUAAAACGCACAACCCGAUAGUACCCACUGAGCGUUAUGCUUCUAAAAAUACGAGUACUUAGUUUAACCACCAGGAAAGGAAUCGGUAGUGAGGGUAUAGGUGUGAUCAUUUCAAAGUAAGCUUUUGCGUUCUACUUCGGCUGCAUGGCAGUUAUAACUGUUAAUAAGUUGGUCUUGCAGUACAUACGCAGUUUUGUUCAGAUACGUCGAAUUCUAUUGUUCUCUAAAGUGAAAAAUUAAUGAAUUACUGGUGAUAGUGAACUGUUUGCUUAUUUUGCAUGCUUAUUGAUCAAUAUAAGAUGACUGUGAACAGGUGAUUGUGUAAUAAUUAUUAUUAGCUUUUCUCUGUUUUGCGUCGCUUCUGUUUGCUUGAUUUCAAAUCUCCACAAAAUUCUUGUUCAAAAUAACCAAAGAUUACUUUCAC